GCCUGCGGCGGCUAUCUGCAGUCGAGCGGAAAAAGGGAGCUGGCUCUCUGGUGUCGCGGCAGGGUGAGAAUGCCCAUGAAUCUGCUGGGUGUGGAGUGGGAUGUUUCCAGGAAAACGGGGCUCCACAGGAUGCUUGAUUGAAAAAGCAGGGGACCUUCUGGCCUGGGGCUUUUAGAUGCCCCUUAGUCAUGGUACCUCGGUGCUGUAGCUAUGGGGUGAGGUAACGACUCAUCCAGGCAACUAUGCGUAGCCGACCUGAGAGGGUGAUAUCUGACAACUGGGCCUGAGACCCAGCCCAGACUCCUACGGGAAGCAGCAGUAUGGGAUCUCCGGCAUGGUACGAAGUCUGACGGAGCAGCGCCACGUGAUUGAUGACGUUUUCGGGAUCGUAAAGCUCUGUUGUUAGGGAAUAACAAGUACUGUUCGACUGGUGCGAUACCUUGACGGUACCCACCAAUAAAGCCACGGCUAACUACGUGCCYAGCAGACGCGGUUAAUACGUAGGUGGCAAGCGUUGUCCUGAAAUUUAUUGGGCGUAAAAGGCGCGCAGGCGGUUUCUUAAGUCUGAUGUGAGAGCCCCGCGGCUUCACUGGGGAAGGUCAAUGGAAACUGGGUGACUAUUGAAUGCAGAAUAGGAGAGUGGAAUUCCACGUGUAGCCGUUAAAUGCGAAGACAUGUGAGAGAACGCCAGUGGCGAAGGCGCCUCUCUGAUCUGUAACUGACGCUGUGGGAGCGAAAGCGUGGGGAACAACCAGGAUUACAUACCCUUGUAUUCCACUCCCUAGACGAUGUGAUGUAAGUGUUAUAGGGUUGUACCCACCUAUAGUGGCAGCUAACAUAUUGAGCAGCCCGCCUGGGGAGUACAGUCGCAAGACUAAAAAUCAAAAAGAUAGACGGGGGCCCGCACGAGCGGUAGGGCAUGUGAUCUCAAUUUGAAACAACGAGAAGCCACUUACCAGGUCCUGUGAUCAUCCAUCAAUUCCAGAUGCAGGAUUCCCUUCUCGGAGACAGAGUGACAGGUGGCACAUGGUUGUUCUCAUCUUGUGUCGAGAGAUCUUGGUCUUAGCCUAGCAAAGAGCACCGCCCUUCAUUUUUGUCCCCAACAUACAGUCGAGCACUCUAAGGAGACUGCCGGUGACAAACCGGAGGACAGGUGGGGAUGACGUCAAGUCAUCAUGCCCCUUAUCGCCUGGGCUACACACGUGCUACAAUGCGCGGAACAAAGGGCAAAAAAGCCGCGAGGUUAAGCUAAUCCCACAAAUCCGUUCUUAGUUCGGAUCGCAGUCUGCAACUCGACUGCGUGAAGUGGGAAUCGCUAGUAAUCGCGAAUCAGCAUGCCGCGGUGAAUACGUUCCCGGGCCUUGUACACACCGCCCGUCACACCAUGAGAGUGGGUAACACCAGAAGUAGGUAGGGUAACCUUCGGGAGGCACGCCUCCCAACGGGGGACAAGUUG
rnacentral:rRNA from 1 species